rnacentral:hammerhead_ribozyme from 1 species
AUCCAGCUGACGAGUGCCAAACAGGACGAAACGCGCUUCCUGAAU